rnacentral:rRNA from 1 species
GACGAACGCUGGCGGCGUGCCUAAUACAUGCAAGUAGAACGCUGAAGGAGGAGCUUGCUCUUCUGGAUGAGUUGCGAACGGGUGAGUAACGCGUAGGUAACCUGCCUGGUAGCGGGGGAUAACUAUUGGAAACGAUAGCUAAUACCGCAUAAGAGUAGAUGUUGCAUGACAUUUGCUUAAAAGUUUCAAUUGCAUCACUACCAGAUGGACCUGCGUUGUAUUAGCUAGUUGGUGGGGUAACGGCUCACCAAGGCGACGAUACAUAGCCGACCUGAGAGGGUGAUCGGCCACACUGGGACUGAGACACGGCCCAGACUGCUACGGGAGGCAGCAGUAGGGAAACUGCGGCAAUGGACGGAAGUCUGACCGAGCAACGCCGAGUGAGUGAAGAAGGUUUUCGGAUCGUAAAGCUCUGUUGUAAGAGAAGAACGAGUGUGAGAGUGGAAAGUUCACACUGUGACGGUAUCUUACCAGAAAGGGACGGCUAACUACGUG